AACGCACAUUGCGCCCCUUGGCAUUCCGAGGGGCAUGCCUGUUCGAGCGUCAUUGUCAAAAUCUCAAGCUCUAUUUUUAAUUAAGCUUGGUGUUGGGUCUUCAUCCUUCAAUCCCACUCCUGAAAAGGAGAUGAGGUGGGGAUGUGCCUGAAAAUCAGUGGCAGUGUCAUGAUGGCCUCAAGUGUAGUAAACUUAACUCUCGCUUUGGAUGGUCAUUCUUGGAUCACUGCUUGUCAAUUAUUCAGAAAUAGUUUGACCUCGGAUCAGGUAGGGAUACCCGCUGAACUUAA
rnacentral:misc_RNA from 1 species